rnacentral:lncRNA from 1 species
AUGGAUGGGAUGAAGUAUAAAACCAUAUUGCUGAAGAACAAGACCACAAAGGGACCAUACUUCUGGGCUGUCCUGGGAAUCUGUAGAGCCUUCAGGGAGGAACAGGAAAGAGCAGCAGCUUGGUGUAUUCUUCAGCUGAUGAACAUCUGCUGCUGGAGAGAGAAUCUUGAACGUAUGCCACCCACCAAGCUCAGAAUUAAACCGAGCAGGAUUCUAAAGAUCUUCAAUGACUACUGUGUGAGUGUGAAUAUCUGAAUGAAGAACAGCCCCAGCUCGACACGUCAUGUACAAGCAUGCAGCUCUAGUGUUAC